UGUUUGUAUUUGAAUCACUCUCUCCAUAUUUCAUCUCACUAGAUCCUUUCCUUUCUUUACAAUGCAAUGGAGGUAGGAGUCCCUAUUUUUUUCUUCCUUAUAUUAUCUCUUCCAUUUUUUUGGAAACUAACUUUUGAAUUUGGUAUCUUUACGAUCAAACCCUAUCGUUACGUGUUCGCUGCUCUUCCCCUCAAAUUGAUUUUUGUUUCUGAUUUUGUUUCUGUUGUCCUCGGUGCCCCAAAUCGAUUUCAGAUUCUGUUGACCUAACGCCCAAAUUAAUUUCAUUUUCUAUUGUAUUCGCGCCCAAAUCGAUUUGCCUCCGAACCCUUUGAUUUCGUCGUUCACGCCCAAAAUCAUGAUAGAAACGAAAACCUAGCUUUGACAGUCGCUUGCUUGCUUCGAGUUUGACAAGUUGACGAAGAAACUAAAUCUUGAGUUUGAUUUUUCCAGUAAGGCACAAAUCAUCUACGACGAUUGCCUCAAUUUAUUCUCACGGUAUCCGGAGUUGUUCGUGGCCCUGUCAGAGGAGACAAAUCUGGUUGUGAAAGGAUAAUUGGGACUACGUUAAUGACGUUAUAGUCGGAGGAAUUAAUGAAGGGGUCUAGUUGCAGCGGCCAUUUUUAUGCUUUAGCUGAGUUUAGUCCACUUGUGUAUGUGAUAGCAUAACGGCAUCAUGACCAUUUAGGUGCAGGCUUGAGGGCAGUUGAGAUGCGCUGAAAGUGCAAGUAUAGUUCUCUGCAUCUUGAAGCCGAGGUCGUAGAAGCAGUGUUUGUAUGCGGCAUACGUGUAGUAAGAUUUAUAAGCAUGGUCCUUUUUAGAUGUUGACGAGUAGGAAAGUUAACGGAUAAGGUUUCUGCGUACUAUGCAGGUCGUCGAGGGAAUUCGAAAUACUUCAGACGUAUAUGAGUAAAGAUUAGGAGGGUAAAGUCCACUUAGGCUUGGUAAAGAGAAAAAAAUUAUAUAAAUAAAAUUGUGUUUUAUAGGUAAAAUAAGGAUCGAGCCACAUGAGUAUAAUUUUCAUACUUCUCCUUGUAUCUGAGUUGUAUUUUGUAACAAAUAUAUAAUAUGGUACACAUUACUUUAAUGUUUUAUUGUAUUUGAAUUAUAAGUGAUAUUCAUUAUAGCUAGCUCUA